rnacentral:rRNA from 1 species
AUUGAACGCUGGCGGCAGGCCUAACACAUGCAAGUCGAGCGGCAGCGGGAAAGUAGCUUGCUACUUUUGCCGGCGAGCGGCGGACGGGUGAGUAAUGCCUGGGAAAUUGCCCAGUCGAGGGGGAUAACAGUUGGAAACGACUGCUAAUACCGCAUACGCCCUACGGGGGAAAGCAGGGGACCUGCGGGCCUUGCGCGCCUGGAGAUGCCCAGGUGGGACUAGCGAGUUGGUGAGGUAAUGGCCCACCAAGGCGACGAUCCCUAGCUGGUCGGAGAGGAUGAUCAGCCACACUGGAACUGAGACACAGGCCAGACUCCUACGGGAGGCAGCAGUGGGGAAUAUUGCACAAUGGGGGAAACCCUGAUGCAGCCAUGCCGCGUGUGUGAAGAAGGCCUUCGGGUUUUAAAGCACUUUCAGCGAGGAGGAAAGGUUGAUGCCUAAUACGUAUCAACUGUGACGUUACGCGCAGAAGAAGCACCGGCUAACUCCGUGCCAGCCGCCGCAGUAAUAC